CCUAAUACAUGCAAGUCGAGCGGACAGAAGGGAGCUUGCUCCCGGAUGUUAGCGGCGGACGGGUGAGUAACACGUGGGUAACCUGCCUGUAAGACUGGGAUAACUCCGGGAAACCGGAGCUAAUACCGGAUAGUUCCUUGAACCGCAUGGUUCAAGGAUGAAAGACGGUUUCGGCUGUCACUUACAGAUGGACCCGCGGCGCAUUAGCUAGUUGGUGAGGUAACGGCUCACCAAGGCAACGAUGCGUAGCCGACCUGAGAGGGUGAUCGGCCACACUGGGACUGAGACACGGCCCAGACUCCUACGGGAGGCAGCAGUAGGGAAUCUUCCGCAAUGGACGAAAGUCUGACGGAGCAACGCCGCGUGAGUGAUGAAGGUUUUCGGAUCGUAAAGCUCUGUUGUUAGGGAAGAACAAGGGCAAGAGUAUCUGCUUGCACCUUGACGGUACCUUGCCAUAAAGCCUCGGCUAAUUUCCUGCCAUCAGUCCUUCCUAUACGGAAAUGGUAAGUGUUGUCCAGAUUAAAUGGGCGUAAAAGGCUCGGAGCG
rnacentral:rRNA from 1 species